GAUGAACGCUGGCGGCGUGCCUAAUACAUGCAAGUCGAGCGAACAGACGAGGAGCUUGCUCCUCUGACGUUAGCGGCGGACGGGUGAGUAACACGUGGAUAACCUACCUAUAAGACUGGGAUAACUUCGGGAAACCGGAGCUAAUACCGGAUAAUAUAUUGAACCGCAUGGUUCAAUAGUGAAAGACGGUUUUGCUGUCACUUAUAGAUGGAUCCGCGCCGCAUUAGCUAGUUGGUAAGGUAACAGCUUACCAAGGCAACGAUGCGUAGCCGACCUGAGAGGGUGAUCAGCCACACUGGAACUGAGACACGGUCCAGACUCCUACGGGAGGCAGCAGUAGGGAAUCUUCCGCAAUGGGCGAAAGCCUGACGGAGCAACGCCGCGUGAGUGAUGAAGGUCUUCGGAUCGUAAAACUCUGUUAUUAGGGAAGAACAAAUGUGUAAGUAACUAUGCACGUCUUGACGGUACCUAAUCAGAAAGCCACGGCUAACUACGUG
rnacentral:rRNA from 1 species